GACGAACGCUGGCGGCGUGCUUAACACAUGCAAGUCGAACGGAAAGGCCCUGCUUUUGUGGGGUGCUCGAGUGGCGAACGGGUGAGUAACACGUGAGUAACCUGCCCUUGACUUUGGGAUAACUUCAGGAAACUGGGGCUAAUACCGGCUAGGAGCUCCUGCUGCAUGGUGGGGGUUGGAAAGUUUCGGCGGUUGGGGAUGGACUCGCGGCUUAUCAGCUUGUUGGUGGGGUAGUGGCUUACCAAGGCUUUGACGGGUAGCCGGCCUGAGAGGGUGACCGGCCACAGUGGGACUGAGAUACGGCCCAGACUCCUACGGGAGGCAGCAGUGGGGAAUAUUGCACAAUGGGCGGAAGCCUGAUGCAGCAACGCCGCGUGCGGGAUGACGGCCUUCGGGUUGGAAACCGCUUUCGCCUGUGACGAAGCGUGAGUGACGGUAAUGGGUAAAGAAGCACCGGCUAACUACGUG
rnacentral:rRNA from 1 species